rnacentral:rRNA from 1 species
GCGGCCUAUCAGCUUGUUGGUGGGGUAAUGGCCUACCAAGGCAACGACGGGUAGCUGGUCUGAGAGGAUGAUCAGCCACACUGGGACUGAGACACGGCCCAGACUCCUACGGGAGGCAGCAGUGGGGAAUCUUGCGCAAUGGGCGAAAGCCUGACGCAGCAACGCCGCGUGCGGGAUGAAGGCCUUCGGGUUGUAAGCCGCUUUCAGCAGGAACGAAAAUGACGGUACCUGCAGAAGAAGGAGCGGCCAACUACGUGCCAGCAGCCGCGGUGACACGUAGGCUCCAAGCGUUGUCCGGAUUUAUUGGGCGUAAAGAGCUCGUAGGCGGUUUAGUAAGUCGGGUGUUAAAACUCUGGGCUCAACCCGGAGACGCCAUCCGAUACUACUAUGACUUGAGUUCAGGAGGGGAGACUGGAAUUCCU